AUCGGCACAAAGUGUGAACCUCGAGGUUAGCCUUCCAUCACCAGAGGUGGGCAUGGAAACCUGCCCUCUGACUUCUACCAGAGCUAAAUUUAAAACCCUGAUGGCUUAAAUGAGUUCUGUGAGGACAAAGUGAUGGGUUUGAAAGGAAAUGGGAAAAAAAAAAAAAAAGUAAAACCAAAAAGAAAAAGCAAGGAGAAACAACUACAGAGCUUUGAGAUGGCAAAAAAAGGAGAAAACAACUUAUUUGUAGCCAGCAGUUAAGAACACAGCCUGGACAGGAACCAAAGGCUGUGUGCCCUUGCUCACAGCCUGCAAGGACCAAAUAACAGAAGAGAAAUGAUAAAUAAGAAGCUGUGAAAAGCAUUCCCAGGAAGCUUUGCCUAAAUAUCGAAAACAGAGAUGGAAGAUCCAAAAUGGAAAAAAAAAAAAAA